rnacentral:lncRNA from 1 species
UAAAUCUGACGUGUAUAGCUUCGGGAUGGUUUGCUUUGAGCUUCUGACAGGUAAAGUACCAUUUGAAGAUAGCCACCUGCAAGGAGAUAAGAUGAGUAGAAACAUUAGGGCUGGGGAGAGACCGCUUUUUCCAUUUAAUUCACCUAAAUUCAUAACAAACCUGACAAAACGAUGCUGGCAUGCUGAUCCGAAUCAGCGUCCAACUUUCUCAUCGAUAAGCAGAGUUCUCCGGUAUAUCAAGCGAUUUCUAGCUUUGAACCCAGAGUAUCACAGUAGUAGCCAACAAGACCCGUCCAUUGCUCCUCCUGUGGAUUACUGGGAGAUCGAGUCUAAGCUAUUGCAGAAGCUUUCAUGGGAAUCUACAGAGUUAACUCAAGUUUCACAGGUUCCUUUUCAAAUGUUUGCAUAUAGGGUGGUGGAACGGGCACAAACUUGUAAAAAGGAUAAUCUCCGGGAAACAUCGGAAUCAGGUAGUGAAUGGGCUUCCUGUAGCGAGGAUGAGGGUGGGGCAGGAUCAGAUGA